rnacentral:lncRNA from 1 species
CCUCCUCCUCCUCCAAGACCACGUACAUGCCCCUGCCCUUUGGCAUUCAUUGUCCCUUACCGCACAAAUGAACUCUCAGGUUCUGCACUUCCAUCCCAGAUCCCUGCCUCAGUUUCCCGCGAGGGGUGCGAUCCCUUCCAGUCUGCACCCAAAGCUUCCACCGAGCACCAGAACUCACCCAACCUCGUCCUGCUUUCCAGUGACGAGCAGCUCCCGACCCGCAGCCCCGCCACCCAACAACAGCUUCCUCUCCCAGACUCCCGUCUUUAAGCUCCACUUUUGCGUCCUAGUUGGGGAGACAAAACUUUGGGCCAUUCUCUCGGCUCGCGCCUGGUGUCUCUGCAAACUCGGGGGCGCGCGCCCCCGCCCGCCCUGCUCCCCGCGGCCCGCAGCCAGCAGCCAGGCCCGGCCCCCUCUCCCGAGCCCGCCCCGGCAGUUGGCGCGCUGCACGCCGGAGCCUUUACCUUCUUCCUUUGCCAUCGUCUCCGCAGAGUCCCGGGUGGCCCUCCUGUUCCCGAGCGGCCCGGAGUCUCCCAAACCUCCGCGAAUCCAAACCCCGCGGCCGC